rnacentral:rRNA from 1 species
GACAGAGGGUGCAAACGUUGUUCGGAAUUACUGGGCGUAAAGCGCGUGUAGGCUGCUUCGCAAGUCGGGUGUGAAAGCCCUGGGCUCAACCUAGGAAGUGCACUCGAAACUGCGAAGCUUGAGUCCUGGAGAGGAAGGCGGAAUUCUCGGUGUAGAGGUGAAAUUCGUAGAUAUCAGGAGGAACACCGGUGGCGAAGGCGGGUCUCUGGGCCGAUAUUGACGCUGAGGAGCGAAAGCGUGGGGAGCAAACAGG